CAGAGCAGAAGAGAGGCUUUAAAAAAAUAAAACUGAAAUUUAUAGGUGCAGCAAACAAUCAGUAAAUGAACUGUGUUAGAUAAAGCUGAGAAAAUACCGAACUGCUAGUCAUGCAUUGCAGGCAAUAAAUACUGCAGGAAAAGAGAUGAGGGACACCACGGGGAUGUCUUCAAGGAAAGGCCACAUUUGCAGUCAGGGAUGGCCUGGCACGAAGCGUUAAAACAUGGAGAAAGGCCUAAAAAAUUUGAGCGCCCGAGCGCUGUGGUCUGUGUGAGGCCUGCCUGCCUCUGCCAGAGGGACUGAAGGGACUAACGGCUGCUUUUGGGCACACGUCCCUCAGCGCAACCCCUACACGCGGAAGAGCCACCUGAAACCCCUUCAUCCACCCGUUUGGCUUUACAUCAGACCGAACGAGCAGCCAGGACCCCAAGGAGGCGUUAAGAAGUGAUACUGUUGAUGGCCAAGGUUACUUCAGAAGCUGUCUGUACCCUUUUUCUCCUUCCUGUCUUUGCAGAAGUUCCCUGGACUCUCUGAAAGGAAAGCAUCGGGCUGCUUGCGUCAGACAAGCUGCCAGAGGUUGGCUGAAGUGUUUGCACCAAGAGCGCAUCUUUAUACACCCACCAUCCUGCUGAGCUCAUGCCCUAUGCAGGAUAGCACAAAGCUCUCCAGGCUGAAACCGAGGAGCGGUCAGACAAAAAAAUACACAAAUUAACACUGCACCUUUACUUUGGUUCAGUAUGUACAGGAUUUGGGGAUUCUAGCCUGUGCUUAUCACUUAAUCAAGCACUAGUCACGUAGUUAAUUACGUUCGCCUCUCCCCUUCAGCACCUACUGAUACGCAGCAAAGGCAACUGUGGUUCAGAGCAGGAAUCUGAGCACAGCAACUAGCACAUCCUUCAUCACUGAGCCAGGCAAGUGGAGCUGGCAGCUGGAGAACCGGGAGGGUGCUUUCCCCUGCAGCAACCUCUGCUGUAAACAGCUCUCCCAUGAGAGAGCUGGCUUUUUUUUUUUUUUUUCUCCCCUGUGGGAGUACAGCAAAACAUAGUUAGAGCUUAGACAACAUCUAAGUACAGAAUGGACAUCGGCAAUUUAUACCUUUGCUGUUAGUCCCAGUUGUCUUAGUAGGAAACAAUUAGGCACAUUGCUACUUAUAACACAAUCAGCCCAGAGUAGGCUUAGGAAAUAGAGCUGGCCAAAGCAGAAACAUUUCCAAAACCUCCCAUGAGAAAUACUCUAGAUUUUUUUUUUCUAAACACCUAGGGGAGAUGGGUGAAAGAGAAGAAUUCCACAGGGAAAAGCCCAAAUUGGUAUAGCUUAGAAAAAUUCACACUUUAAUUUUUUAAUUUGCAUAAAUUCUUGUUUGAAAAAAUAAAAAUAAAAUCCACGGUAGUAUUCCUAGGAAGCUGAAGUUCUUGGCCCUUCAGUCAGCCCUUGCCCCUAAGUCCUUCAAUCCUCUGGACAAGAAACAUUUUUCCAAAAAAAGCCUAAGCCAUGGCUGUUGGUGUAAUAUGAGAACAACUGGGCAGCAGGCUUUCCACCCACCCUUUCCCCUUGCAGUGGUUUAUCUGUGCAGCCUCACAUGCUCCUACGCAGGACUGCUGUUCUCCACUCACAACCUGUGUCUUCAAUUAACAGCACCUUAAAAGGGCCUGGUUUGCCCAUUUCCCUCUCAGCAUCUCAGCCCCACCAGCACAUACAAUUCAUCUGGCUCUGAGCAUGAGUGUUAAUAGUCAAACCUGAGGUGCAAACAAGGUACAGCAUUUAGCUGGGGAAGGUUUAAGAUUCUAGCUAUGCUUCCAGGCUGAUGUCCCAAGGCACACAGCCUGGAUGCCAAAUAUGCGCUGUGCUUUGCCAGUUUGUUUCCACUAUGGCUUUUCUUACUGUUGAACACUAUCCUGAGUCUGACAGUGACUCACAUCAGCUUAAUCUUAGCUCUGAAGAGGUAAGAAUAAUUUCAUACCCAUCUGGAACAACAACACAGCACCACAAUCCAAAUGUUAUAAGGCAUGAAGCAAAGAGCAUCAUAUUCAUGGGAAACCACCGAGAAGGUCAGCUAAGGACUGCAUUCCCUAAAGCAGCCCGAAUUCUGCUUUGACACAAGAGAGAGAAAACCCUGCUCCCUUGGAAGACACGUCAGAAAUCUGUACGCGAUGGAAAGAAACAAGAUCUGACAACACAUCAUUAAAAA